rnacentral:miRNA from 1 species
GGUCGACACUGCCUCGAGGAA